AAGACUAUACUUUCAGGGAUCAUUUCUAUAGUUCGUUACUAGAGAAGUUUCUCUGAACGUGUAGAGCACCCGAAACCACGAGGAGGAGGCGCAGCGUUCUCUCCUGAGCGUGAAGCCGGCUCUUGGUGUUGCUUCCGCAACUGCCUUUUGCCAUUGAUGAUCGUUCUUCUCUUCUUUUUAGGAGAGUAAGAGGGAGAGGACGCAGUCUGAGUGGU
rnacentral:snoRNA from 9 species